rnacentral:lncRNA from 10 species
AGAGAUCCCAGCCUUAGAUCUCUCCCAACAUUCCUCUGGGGCCCUCCAGACAUCCACAAUCUCAAGAGAAAUUGCAAGCUUCUCACCACCUCUCUCGCCCAUACAUGCUCCGGCUCCCCCCACUUCAUUCGCUCUCUCUCCUCUUCUUGUUCUCCCUAGCCUCUCUUCGUAUCCUCUCCUCCCCCAACUGUCUCUCUCCUCUUGCUAAGUGUGCCCUCCUGAGUCUAUCUUGUAAAUUUCUUUCUAAGCUUUACUUUUAAUAUUCUUCCUUUCUCUCUCUCCCCUCUCUCUUGGCUGAGUGUUUGUGUAACUUUUUUCUAAUCCCCCACCCCGACCCCGCCGGAUUGUCUCAGACUUUUAGUCCUUUCCUCCUCUCUCAAGGGGACACAGCUGACCUUUCCUAGGAGUAGCCUCUUUUUUUGUCCCCAAACUUCUCACCCCUGGGCUCUUCUAUUCUCUUCAAAUGGCACACAUGCCAUCCCUGAAUUUGCAGGAGUUUCUUUCUGCCUGUUUCACGCCAAAUAUAGCUUUUUUUUUUUCACACCAUGUUACCAAGGAAUAAUCUUAGUAGACCACUGUUAAUACUUCUAGACCCCACCAUGACUUCCUUCUGGUAUUUAUCCUCAUCAUACACUCCACGAAAGGAUCACUUAUAUUAUGCCCAUAUUUUCCUCAUUCUAUCCAAAUCAGGAUACAUAAGAGCAGAAGUCUAAGCCUACUUAUAAUUACAAUAAGAUAGGAUAUUUGAAAUCUGGGCUGUCCUCGGAAAUCUGGGACAUAAUGUUGCUAUAAAUGCCACCUAUCCAGAAUCCAGCUCUCAAGCAGUUUCAUAAGCAAGCACUCUGAACAUCCUCAGCAUUGUCAGGAAGUUUGUAUAUUACACUCAGACUAAAAAAGGAUUUCCUCUCAUUUUGUCCAUUCUGGGAAUCAGAAUUUUGACUGCACAUCAGGUG